rnacentral:rRNA from 1 species
AUUGAACGCUGGCGGCAGGCCUAACACAUGCAAGUCGAGCGGAGCGGCGGACGGGUGAGUAAUGCCAAGGAAUCGGCCGGGUAGUGGGGGAUAACUUCGGGAAACGGGCGCUAAUACCGAAAACUACCAGAGGAGCCUGGGUGGGAUUAGCUAGUUGGUGGGGAAAAGGCCUACCAAGGCGACGAUCCGUAACUGGUCUGAGAGGAUGAUCAGGCACACUGGAACGGAGACACGGUCCAGACUCCUACGGGAGGCAGCAGUGGGGAAUAUUGGACAAUGGGCGAAAGCCUGAUCCAGCCAUGCCGCGUGUGUGAAGAAGGUCUUCGGAUUGUAAAGCACUUUAAGUUGGGAGGCGUUACCAACAGAAUAAGCACCGGCUAACUUCGUGCCAGCAGCCGCGGUAAUAC